rnacentral:rRNA from 1 species
UUAGGGGCCUGAGACGUUAAGCGGAGCCGUAUUAGGUGAAGUCAAUGAUCCCAUGCUGCCGAGAAAAGCCUCUAGCGAGCUUCGAGCGGCCCGUACCCCAAACCGACACAGGUGGUCAGGUAGAGAAUACCGAGGCGAUCGGGCGAACUAUGGUUAAGGAACUCGGCAAAUUACCCCCGUAACUUCGGGAGAAGGGGGGCCACAGACUGUCAAACUCCAUGCGGGUGGCAGCGGUAGGUGGCCGCAGAGACCAGGGGGAAGCGACUGUUUACUAAAAACACAGGUCCGUGCGAAGUCGUAAGACGAUGUAUACGGACUGACGCCUGCCCGGUGCUGGAACGUUAAGGGGACCGGUUAGUCCGCAAGGGCGAGGCUGAGAACUUAAGCGCCAGUAAACGGCGGUGGUAACUAUAACCAUCCUAAGGUAGCGAAAUUCCUUGUCGGGUAAGUUCCGACCUGCACGAAUGGCGUAACGACUUCCCUACUGUCUCAACCAUAGGCCCGGCGAAAUUGCACUACGAGUAAAGAUGCUCGUUACGCGCGGAAGGACGGAAAGACCCCGGGACCUUCACUAUAGCUUGACAUUGGUACUCGAAUUGAAUUGUGUAGGAUAGGUGGGAGACUAUGAAGCUCGGACGCCAGUUCGGGUGGAGUCAAACUUGAAAUACCACUCUGUUGAAUUUGGGUAUCUAACUUCGGACCGUGAUCCGGUUCAGGGACAGUGUCUGGUGGGUAGUUUAACUGGGGCGGUUGCCUCCUAAAAUGUAACGGAGGCGCCCAAAGGUUCCCUCAGCCUGGUUGGCAAUCAGGUGUUGAGUGCAAGUGCACAAGGGAGCUUGACUGUGAGACUGACAGGUCGAGCAGGGACGAAAGUCGGGACUAGUGAUCCGGCACCUGCAGUGGAAGCGGUGUCGCUCAACGGAUAAAAGGUACCCCGGGGAUAACAGGCUGAUCUUCCCCAAGAGUCCAUAUCGACGGGAUGGUUUGGCACCUCGAUGUCGGCUCGUCGCAUCCUGGGGCUGGAGUAGGUCCCAAGGGUUCGGCUGUUCGCCCAUUAAAGCGGCACGCGAGCUGGGUUUAGAACGUCGUGAGACAGUUCGGUCCCUAUCCUCCGCGCGCGCAGGAGACUUGAGAAGGGCUGUCCCUAGUACGAGAGGACCGGGACGGACGAACCUCUGGUGUGCCAGUUGUCAUGCCAAUGGCACGGCUGGUUAGCUACGUUCGGAAGGGAUAACCGCUGAAAGCAUCUAAGCGGGAAGCCUGCUUCAAGAUGAGGUCUCCCACCCCUUGAGGGUUAAGGCCCCCAGCUAGACCACUGGGUUGAUAGGCCAGAAGUGUAAGCCUGGUAACAGGUUCAGCCGACUGGUACUAAUAGGUC